CAGGCCUAACACAUGCAAGUCGAACGGUGACCUCGAAGCUUGCUUCGAGUGAUCAGUGGCGAACGGGUGAGUAACACGUGAGCAACCUGCCCUUGACUCUGGGAUAACAGCUGGAAACAGCUGCUAAUACCGGAUACGACCUCCCUCGACAUCGAAGGAGGUGGAAAGCUCCGGCGGUCAAGGAUGGGCUCGCGGCCUAUCAGCUAGUUGGUGAGGUAACGGCUCACCAAGGCUUCGACGGGUAGCCGGCCUGAGAGGGCGACCGGCCACACUGGGACUGAGAUACGGCCCAGACUCCUACGGGAGGCAGCAGUGGGGAAUAUUGCACAAUGGGCGCAAGCCUGAUGCAGCAACGCCGCGUGCGGGAUGACGGCCUUCGGGUUGUAAACCGCUUUCAGCUCCGACGAAGCGCAAGUGACGGUAGGAGCAGAAGAAGGACCGGCCAACUACGUGCCAGCAGCCGCGGUAAU
rnacentral:rRNA from 1 species